rnacentral:misc_RNA from 1 species
AAGUCGUAACAAGGUUUCCGUAGGUGAACCUGCGGAAGGAUCAUUAGUGAAUUUCGACGCGAGUCGAUACACUUUCGGCUGUGCGCCUUCGGGCCGCACGCCGUCCACACACCCGUGCACGUUUCGGUGGGGGGUGACCCCCGCUGUAUUUUACACACUUUAUAAGUCUUGAAUGUGAAUUUUUAUAACAAAUACAACUUUCAGCAACGGAUCUCUUGGCUCUC